ensembl:snRNA U6 U6 spliceosomal RNA
GUAGUUUAUUCCNUUCACCAGCACAUACACUAAAAUUGGAAUGAUACAGAGAAGAAUAACACGGCCUCUGUGUAAGGAUGACACACAAAUUCAUGAGGAAAAGGUGAUACAAAAUUUGU